AUGUUCUCUGUAGCUCUGCUGCUGCUGCUGGCUGAUGGAUCCUGUGUUGAUGGUCAGACUCUGACAGAAUCUGAACCAGUGGUUAAAAGGCCUGGAGAAUCUCACAGAUUGACCUGUACAGGCCCAGAGCCUGUACAGGUCAAUCUCACAUUCACAUUCACAUUCACAUUCAGUGACUUCUAUAUGCACUGGGUCAGACAGGCUCCUGGAAAAGGACUGGAGUGGGUUGCUUAUAUCAGUCAGCUUAGUGGUAGCGACAAAUACUACUCUCAGUCAGUCCAAGGCCGGUUUACCAUCUCCAGAGACAACAGCAGACAGCAGGUGUAUCUGCAGAUGAACAGUCUGAAGACUGAAGAUUCUGCUGUUUAUUAUUGUGCUGGAGACUCACAGUGACUGGAGUUGGUGGA